rfam:Drosophila grimshawi strain TSC#15287-2541.00 scaffold_14906 genomic scaffold, whole genome shotgun sequence.
GAGUGGGCAAUGUGAGAAAAUGUCUUGCACAAGCCAAAAACAAAAAAAAAUAUACAAAAGCAAAGAAGGUAUAAAGGUAAAUGGGUGAAAUGCUUAAGAAAAUCAACUCGACAAGCAGCCAGAGGAAUG